rnacentral:siRNA from 1 species
AAGUAGGCACCAUCAAU